ACAAAAGGAACACCACAAGAAAAUUCCUGCAGAAGGAACACCAUAUGCAUGGUGAGUUUCUUGAUUUUCUCUAAAACAUUUAGGUCCUGCCAUACCAAAGAAUGUGUGUUUAGGUGAUUUGGAUUAUGAGGACUUUCUAUAAAUGUGGCUUGGCAUGGGUAACCGCAUGGGUAACCUGAAACUGAAUGCAUCCAGGAUGAUGAGCCAUGCGCCGCCUGCUUUACUUGAGUUAUUCAGAUUCUGUUCAAUUGAGUGAAGAGCUGGUUGCAUCAUUUAUUCAUCGGCUCCAAUUUAGUGUGACCACCUUAUAGUACACUUUAAUAGACCGUUUGGCUUUCUUUAGUAACUUUUGAUGCCUAGAUAUCCCUCUAAUUGUGUUCUUAAUUUCUUUCUGACCUUAGUUUGUUGUAAAUUACUUAGUUCUGAAAAUUUGGUUGAUAAUUGUUCUGCAGAGAUGGUUGGAGAACUGGCAAAAGAAAGCAACAUUUUCUAAGGCUUCCUAGAGAUGGAUAUUGGAAUCAUGAGUUUUAUGUUGUUGCUUUACUCAAGAUUUCUCGAUUUCUAUAUAUAGGUUUUAACUUCUCUUCUAUGGCUAUGAAUGUCAAAUAUUGCUUGUACAAUAGUUGGUUCCUUGGCUGGCAAUAUAAAAGAUUAUACUUGCGUCAUGCUUUUCUUCUUUUGAUGCUAUUUGUAACUAUUCUUUAGAAGCACUGGUUUAAGAAGAAAAUGGAGGGGAUCAUCUGCCAAGGACAAGGCGACAUCAGAUUCUUCUGUCUCCAGAAGCUCUGAUUAAAUCAAAUGAUUGAUGCAAACAGUGAUGGGUGUCAUCUUUAUUGCUUGGAUGGCAAUUUGCUAUGCUGUGAUGGUUGUCCAGCUGCAUUUCAUUUGAAAAUGUGGGAUCUUUUGCCUGAAGGUGAUUAGAAUUGUCCUAAGUGUUUACUACAGAAUAAUGGUGUAUAGAGGAAUAUUGAAAAUCCUAUUAGAUGGGCUGAGAUUCAAGGAAUCAAUCCACGUGGCAUGGCUGACUAUACUUUGGCACUUGCAGCUAUCUUUUGGUGUAAGUUGUUUCGGACCCCUUCCUCUGGUGUUACAUGUAUAUCUUUCUGAAUGAUUUUUUGGGCUCUAGUGUGCUUUUUAAAAGAUGUCCCUCUGCUAUAUGACCUCCUAUAUUUUUCAAAAACUACAUAGUGGUAUAAUCCAACUAGGAUGCUGAAACUUAUCUGCAAAUUAUUGGUUGUGAUACAAUCCAACAGCCUCUUGUUCAGGAGAAACCUGAGAGUACUUUAGUGUAUGGUAGGUCUUGUUAAUAUCAACUCAUAGCUGCCCAUUCUCUGAAAAUAGCCAAUGCCAUUUGCAGAUAAAAGUAGACACUAGGUAAAUGUUGAAGGUCGACCGUGCAACUAGAAGAAGGCAAAAAGAAGUAGCAACAUAGGUUGAGGAACAAUUUUGGUGCACUGAACAAGAAAACAACACAAUAUCUGAAUCUGUUAUUUGUUAUAAGAGCUUUCUGCAGAACGUUUGCUCCUGCUAGAGAGUUUGCCCCAUGAUCGAAUAAUUCAGCUUCAAGGUUUAUCUCCUUUGGUUCAUCUUGCAUUGGGUUUGUCACAUUGAUUCCACUCCAUGGUCAGGUACCUACUGCUUGUCUAACAAAAAUACGAUAUUUUAGCAUUAGCAAAUAUUUGUCUCAAUGAAAUCCAACAU
rnacentral:lncRNA from 1 species